UUUGCUGUGGCUGUGGUGUAGGCCAGCGGCUACAGCUCCGAUUAGACCCCUGGCCUGGGAACCUCCAUAUGCCUCAGGUUCGGCCCUAAAAAAAAAAAUUUGAAUUUUCAACAGGAAAUGUAUGUUAUCUCAUCAAAGACCAUUCUACCAUUUUGUGUUCUUAUUCAAGUGAUCCAAGGAGGAAGCGUUCAUGACCCCCUUUUUACGGAGGGCAUAUCUGGAGAUGGGGGCAGUGAAGAGCCAAAGGUCUGGGAGACUCACUCUGUCCUUUGGAUGCUAUUCAAAAUGCCCCCAUUCUUGAAGCGUUCCUGAGAAACCAACCAGCCCAUCUGCGUCUCCUCCAACUCUCUGGCUCUUUGUUUUGGCUCCUGUUGGCUCCCUCCCUUUGUUCUCAUGUGCAUCAUCCCCGGGCAUCUCCUGGAAGCAACCUGAGGGCAGCCUUGAGUCUCAUCGUCCUGCUACAUCCUUCGUUCCCAGAACGAUGCUCCCCACAAAGUGGGCGUUUAGCAAAUAUUGAACCGAUUUGGGGAAAACCACAGAAGGAAAAGCAGAGGUGCUUUGGAGAGUUAUCUUAUAUUGUAAACAUGGUAGUGGUUAUUCUCUUAACCUUUGCCCUGGCGUGCGUAGAUGCUGGCUUCUGUGUUCAGGCGUGCUUGGGAAAACAGGGUAAAAUCCAGUUAGGUGCAUAGUAAAAUAACCCUUUUUUUGUUGUUGUUGUUGUUUUGUGCAUAUGGGGGCAAUGGGCCUCUUGCCUUUGAAGUUCCUGAGAAUGUCACUUGCCGUUACUUCGGGGCUGGCAGGCCUUGGCAUCAGAAUGUGGUCUGACUCAGGAGAUGGCAGGAGGUCCAGGCUUCUCCGUUUGGCUGUCCAGGCAGGGUAGGAGGCGAGGAUUAAUGGGAAAAGCUAGCAGAGGUGGGAGUGGGAGCCCAGAUCCAGGUGACCCCUACUUCCUUCCUUCCUUCUGGAACUCUGUGGACUCAAUGAGAAGGCAUCCAGAGAUUCUGAAAGGGCAGCAGGAGAUUUAAAGGUAAGCAGUCCUACAUGAGGAGAUAGGAGGCUGUAAAGUUGUAUUUUUGGGGGGUCGGGGGGGAACCGUGGCACAUGGAAGUUCCCAGGCCAGGGAUCUAACCUGCACCACAGCAAUGACGACACUGAAUCCUUAAUC